rnacentral:rRNA from 1 species
CCUACGGGAGGCAGCAGUGGGGAAUAUUGCGCAAUGGGCGCAAGCCUGAUGCAGCGAUGCCGCGUGUGGGAUGCAGGUCUUCGGAUCGUAAACCUCUGUCAGCAGGGAAGAACGGUCACUGGUCUAUUCAGCAGUUAAUUGACGGUACCUGCAAAGGAAGCACCGGCUAACUCCGUGCCAGCAGCCGCGGUAAUACGGAGGGUGCGAGCGUUAAUCGGAAUUACUGGGCGUAAAGCGCUCGUAGGCGGUCUGUCAAGUCAGGGGUGAAAUCCCCGCGCUCAACGUGGGAACUGCCUUUGAAACUGGCAAACUGGAGUGUCUGAGAGGCUAGUGGAAUUCCAGGUGUAGCAGUGAAAUGCGUAGAGAUCUGGAGGAACAUCAGUGGCGAAGGCGACUAUCUGGCACAUAACUGACGCUGAGGUGCGAAAGCGUGGGUAGCAAACAGGAUUAGAUACCCUUGUAGUC